UUUGCAUUUCCUUCGAAGGUCACGGAGAUCAUUACGAAAAACGUGUCAUGCGACGGCGAAGAGGUUGGGUGAGGACGACACGUGUAACAUCAUUAUCAAGUAGGUAAAAUAGCCGGAAGGUAUAAGAUGUGGGUCAGGGUGAGAAAAAGUCGUAUAAAAGGAGAGAGAAAAAUUGACAUGGAUCAGUCGAGUGAGUAUCUCCGACACGGUAACAACUUCAGCGCACUAUUGGUCACCUGCUGCAUUCUUCAUCGUAUCAUCAGUUCGCAAUCAUGGUAAACUAUGGCGUUGUUCUGCUGUUGGGUGUUGAAUCGCUGACGGUUGGGUCGACCACUGGUGUACCGAUGUCUCCUGGUCCUGUGUAUGGUGGAUAUCAAAGCACAACAUUGCUGUCUUAAUACUCAUCAUCAACCAAUGCUGCUCCAGCUUACACCACCAAGGCUUCAGACAAGUUGCAUUAAAGGAGAGAAAAGGCUUUUCCGACACGACAACAACUUCCGCGCACAAUUUGUCACCAACUGCCUUCUUCAUCGUAUAAAGCGUAAACUGUGGCGUCGUGCUGCUGUUGGUUGUUGUCCUGAAAUACUACACCACCGAGGCUUCAAAGUAUUACACUACAAUUUAUGCUGCUGCGAGAUGCAUCACUAAAGAGCCCGAGUACUACAUCCUGUUUCCAUUCGUAUUAAGCCACAACCAUUUGUUCACUCUGGCGCCGUGCUGCUGUUUGGUGUCUUAUCGUUGAAGGUUGGGUCGACCACGGGUUUACUGAUGUCUUCUGGUCAUGGUGGAGACCAAGCAACAGCAGCGAAAGAAUACUACACCACGCCGCCGCCUUCGCAACAUCUACUUACAACACCGAGGCCCCCAAGUGGUACACCACCAAGGCUCAAGAGUUACGCUACAAAUUACGCUGCCCCGAGUUACAUCACCAAAGCGCCUGAGUACUACAUCCCCGAGGCACUACAACUGAGGCGGCGAAGUACUACGUAGCCUAGGCUUACAACACAGCAGCUGCUCCUUCAUACUACGUUGAACUGAAAUACUACACCAAGGCUGCAGUUGACUACACCACAACCUACGCUUCACUUAGCUACUAUGACGAAGCCCCCAACUACUACACCGAAGAGGCCACAUGUUACACACCAACGUACAGUGCCCCAGUUUACUACACCGAGGAACCCAAGUAUUACUCUGCUCCAAGCUACUACCAAACUGAGGCUCCUGUUAACCAAGGCCACCGAGUAUUAUACUACAACCAAACGUUAACUAUGGCGUCGUGCUGCUGUUGGUUGUAUGAUCCUUGAUGGCUGGGUUGACCACUGGUGUACCGAUGUCUCCUGGGUAUGGCGGAUACCAAACCGCAACGCCGGCGUCUUACUAUACAACAACAUACGCAGCAACCGGAUACUACACCCCCAAGGCCCUAGAGUAUUACACCAUAACUUAUGAUGUCCCGAACUUCUACACCGAAGCUUCGAAGUUUAACUCAGCCCCGUGUUAAACCACCAAGGCAGCGGAGUACUACACCACCAAGGCAGCGGAGUACUACACCACCAAGGCAGCGGAGUACUACACCACCAAGGCAGCGGAGUACUACACCACCAAGGCAGCGGAGUACUACACCACCAAGGCAGCGGAGUACUACACCACCAAGGCAGUGGAGUACUACACCACCAAGGCAGUGGAGUACUACACCACCAAGGCAGCGGAGUACUACACCACCAAGGCAGCGGAGUACUACACCACCAAGGCAGCGGAGUACUACACCACCAAGGCAGCGGAGUACUACACCACCAAGGCAGCGGAGUACUACACCACCAAGGCAGCGGAGUACUACACCACCAAGGCAGCGGAGUACUACACCACCAAGGCAGCGGAGUACUACACCACCAAGGCAGCUGCAUAUUCGUACUACGUUGAACCGGAAUGCUAAACCGAGGCCUCAGUUUUCUAUACUACAGCCUGCGCUUCUCCCAGGUACUAUACCACCAAGGCUACUGAGUAUUACACCACUUCUUACGCUGCUACCACCUACUUCACCGAAGCUCCGAAGUUUUACUCUGUGCUGAGUUACCACACCAUUAAGGAAGCCGAACAUUUCAUCACAAACGCUUCCGCAACUUACUACAUGAAAAUUCCUAAAUGCUAGACCCGAAAUUUCUAAUUGGUUUUAUUAAGAUAUGUCGGUUGUCUUCAUGGUCAUUGGGAAUUAAUCGUUGAUGUUGAUUGAGAAAAUAAAAUUUCUAAUGCCGGUAAUUCUUUUUUAAGACUUGGUAGUAACUUCAAGCCUGUCAACGUUGCGGCAGGUGUCUAUUGGUGUUGGACUUCUUCAAGGCCAGUAUCCUACGUUGUGAUUUGUCUGUUAAUCGAUCUGCAUACGGAUUUGUUUUAGUGGUUCGACGUGAAGUUUCAAGGGAAAGUUACGAAAGAAACUUGUAACUGUUGAUUUUUGCAAAUCUUAUAUGCAAGUAAAAGGCAAUUGGCUGAUCUUUGUAUAAU